rnacentral:rRNA from 1 species
UACGUAGGGUGCGAGCGUUAAUCGGAAUUACUGGGCGUAAAGUGUGCGCAGGCGGCUGAGCAAGUCGAGUGUGAAAGCCCCGGGCUUAACUUGGGAAUUGCGCUCGAAACUACUUGGCUUGAGUGUGGCUGAGGAAGGUGGAAUUCCACGUGUAGCGGUGAAAUGCGUAGAGAUGUGGAGGAACACCGAUGGCGAAGGCAGCCUUCUGGGCCAACACUGACGCUCAUGCACGAAAGCGUGGGGAGCAAACAGG